GGGGACCUUGAUGGACAGCCCUGCCUACCUGAGGCCUUCUGAAAAACACAGCAGAUGUCAGAACACAGCCACGAGACGCCUGGGAGCGAAGGAGCUGAAAGCAACAUUUCAGCAGCAGCCAAGAGCUUCCGUCAGCGUUCUGUGCCAGAAGUAGAAGCGGCGCUCCCCCUGCCUCCACGGCUCUGCACUGAUGAGAAAAUGGGCUGUGGUUUGUAUGGCUUCUGUAUUAAUUGUGUUCCCUUUGAUGGCACAAGGAGACGCGUGCAGCACAGCAUGCGCGGAUCUGACGCUGCCUGUGGAAGCCGUGCUGCUGCUCUCGAGCCGUGGGACAGACACCGGGAACAACAGGAAAACAGCAACGUGAACGGCACGUCCCAAGCAGAAGUUGCACGCCACGUGUUUUCUGAAGAUAAAAAAGCGGGAAAAGAAAAGCUUGGAUCUGAGCAGAUAUGGAAGACUGCCUGUCUCCUUCCAAAACCACUCAAGGUGGAAGACCUCUGCACCAUCCACAUACUUAAAAUGCAAGUAUCUAUCUGUUUAAUUCUAAAUUGAAGGAGGGGUGGCCCACAGCCAUUCUCUUAUUAUGUUGGAGUAAGGCUGGUGCUGGGAACACUUGUUUGAGGACACAGAACCCCCAAAGCACAGUGCUGGUGCUGUGGGCACGCCCUAGCCUGGCUCCUGUCGGAACACCUUUAGCUGCAGGAGAGCAUCAGCUGCACUCAUGGAGAGCAUCUGCCAGUUGUGCUCCAUCCAGGAGAGCAGUCACCGUGCUUUGAAUCACUGCACGACUUCACACACACAAAGCAUGGUUGACUGGGAGGUGAGUGCCAAAAACAUGCUCAGAAACUGAAACAUGGCGCUGACGGAGACACCCUCCCUCCUCAACAGCAGCUGAGAUGGGCUCCAGUCAGAGCAGGUGCCUGAGGAACCGAACUUGAACAGACUUGUGUAGGACCUGUUGAGGAAACACAGCAAGAUCUCGGCACAGCCUUCUGUCUUGGGAAGCGCAGAGGCUCAGAAAGAGAAGUUUCCUCAGCACCUCCCUGACCCAGCCCUGCAUGGACACAGCCACAGGAGCCCAGCAGCAGUGGGAACACUGAGCAGCCAGCUCCGGGGCACAUCUGGGAGAGCUGCUCCACCAUCCUGCCCUUGUUACAGCCUCCCCCUUCUGCCACAGCCCACACCACGGUGCAGCCCUGUAGUGCUCAUAGGUUGUUCUCUUUCUACCUUCCUCACAUAGCACCCAGGGAUAACAGAGCAGAUGCAUCGCUGAAUGCUCCAGAGAUCUCCUAGGCACAUGGACGUGGCUGCACCAUUCAGACCGGGAAACCUUUGUGGAAGUUUUCAGCCCAUGCUUUCCACAGUGACCCAAGAUUGUUUCAUUCCUAAGUAAGUAUGAAUGAGCGAUGCAUUACGGUCAUACAGUACUCACACGCCCACGCUUGCAGAGACCUGGAGUGGUUUCAGCCUGAGCAUGGCCCUUGUGAACAGCCCAGAGGACACUGGCACAAGGGGCCCAUCCCGGCCUGCAGCUCCCAGCGUGCUGUGCCGGCCGUCCAGCAGCUGAAUGCCUCCGUAACAGCUCCGGCAGCGCUGCCGCUCCAGUCCCCAUGGGAGGCAGAACCAAGGGAGCUGCCAACGCGUUGACGGACAACGCCAUCCCCAUCAGCCACAGCAUUUCUCUCUCCUUGCCAGGAAGCCGGGCC